rnacentral:misc_RNA from 1 species
GUGACAGGAGCAUUUCCGAGAGGAGUCUGCAGAAAUUUAUUUGAGAUUAUAAAGUUUAUUUUAAUUGUGUUUUAAAAUCAGACAUCACAAUGGCAAACGAAUUAAUAUGGAUUCACCGCACAGUGAGAAUGAUGUUCCUCUGCUCGUUUUUGCACUUCGCCUCGCUCUUCGGCCACGACCUCCUCGACACGGACGCCGACCCCCACUCCCCGAACGACUUGCUGAACGACUACGUCCGUCACUCUUACACGUACGACCAGGAAGAGUACGACGACCUGGGAUUCCCCCUCGACGACCGCCGAGAGAAGGACGAGGACGACGAGGACGAGGACGUGUCCCCGGUCGAGUUCGUGUACGACCGGAGGUUCCCGUCCAGGUUCCUGCCGAUCGACCGGCGGGUACACCAGCUAUGAACACACAGGGCCGCUUCGACCUCCUCAACCCAGUUCUCGGGCCGGAAGGAGCCCCCUUUGUCGAAGGAGACAUGGUUUUCUCAGAAGAAGAGGGGGCGGCGGCGGCGGAGGAGGACGGAGGGCGGAAGCUCCCGUCGGAGGAGGAGCUGCUGUGGCCGCCGCACCCGGGAACAGGCUUUCCCUUCGUCCCGUUCGUCGUUCACAGCUCGGCCGAGAAAAUCAGGCCUUUCCUCGAGAAGGCCAUCCGCUCGUGGGAGAAGCGCACCUGCAUCACCUUCAAGGAACUACCCUCCGAAAUCGAACACAACUUCUUAGGAACGCAGAAGCGCCACCUUGGGCCAUACCUUGAGUUCGUGCGGAGUUCCGGCUGCUGGAGCUACGUCGGGAGGCAGUACCGGCGGUGGGGGGGACAGAAACUCUCGAUCGGGCGGGGUUGCACGAAGCUCGGCACAGUAUUGCAUGAAAUCGGCCAUGCACUCGGCCUCCUGCAUGAACAAUCGCGGAGUGACCGAGACGAGCAUGUGAAGAUCUUGUGGAAAAACGUCAUGCACGGGAAGCAGAAGAACUUUCGUGUGUGGAAAGACAGUCGAUUUGAUGAAGUGCCUUACGACUACUCUUCCGUCAUGCACUAUGGGAGUUAUUUUUUCGGCCAAGGCGGCCGGCCGACCCUUCUCCCCAGGAACCCUUUCCACCAGCACCUCCUUGGCCAGAGGGAUGGCUUUUCCUUCAGGGACAUCGCGGUGGCCAACUCCGUCUACGGCUGCAUUAAGCGAUGGGAAGCCUCCUGCGGCGCCUCGACCCCGAAGUGCGAGAACGGAGGCUACGUGUUCAGGGACUGCCGCUGCCUGUGCCCGCCCGGAACAGCCGGGCCUUCGUGCGCUGCUGUGACCGGGGACUACUAUCCACAGCUGAAGUGUGGCGGUAACGUGACGUCGUCCCAAAUCAUCUCGUCGCCAAGAUAUCCGCAGCCCUUUCCUGCGAAUUGUACUGCGGCGCCGACCUGUCCCCCGGCCAAGAGCUCGUCUCCGAAGGCCGGGACAUGUUCAUCGUCUUCCGCGGGAGGUAUGGCUUCGUGAGCGGGUUUUCGGCUCGGCUGGACUUCGUCGAGGGUGAGAGGGCGGGGAGCGAAGGAGGCGAGGAAUCAGCAGGGGUUAUGGGAGAUGAAGCGGAAAGUGGGCCGACAGGAGAAGGAAGAGGCACUGAUGGCGGAAAUUCGCUGUUUAAUUAGUGACAUCGAAAUUCGACGAAAAUAUUUUUCCCGUCGAUGUUAAACAGAAUCCUUGAAAUGCUGAAACUUGGUAUUUGCUUUGGCAAGAAGAAUGAUAAAGAUUAUGGUGAUUAAUCGUGAUGGCUUGAAAUUACAAAAUUAUUGCAAAUAAAAGCUUAUAUUAAGUAUUAAUUAACUGUUUUUCCAUGUGCAAAGUCACACUAAUGGUAUAUGUCCCUUCAUCUGCAUCCUUCCGAACUUCAACUGUGUAACUGUGGCAAAUGGUGUCCUUCAAACUAUACUGCUAUGCACAUUUAUACAAACUUUUUCGGGUUAAGGAUAUUCGUUUUUCAAUUUCUCUCAAAUCAACGUGUCUAAUGUGUUAUCUUAUUACAUCUUUGGUCAAACAUUGUAUAAUCUCUCUAAUGUUUACUUAAUACUGACUUUUUUUUGUGUGUGUGUUA